AGAGUUUGAUCAUGGCUCAGGAUGAACGCUGGCGGUAUGCAUUACACAUGCAAGUCGUACGAAAACUUCGGUUUUAGUGGCAAACGGGUGAGGAAUACAUGAGAAUCUACCUUUAAGAGGAGGAUAACAAUUGGAAACACUUGCUAAAACUCCAUACGCCUCUGGGUGAAAAAGUGUAAAACUGCUUAAAGAUGAGCUCAUGUCUGAUUAGCUAGUUGGUGAGGUAAUGGCUCACCAAGGCGACGAUCAGUAGCUGGUCUGAGAGGAUGAUCAGCCACACUGGAACUGAGACACGGUCCAGACUCCUACGGGAGGCAGCAGUGGGGAAUUUUCUGCAAUGGGCGAAAGCCUGACAGAGCAAUACCGCGUGAGGGAAGAAAGCCUACGGGUUGUAAACCUCUUUUCUCAAGGAAGAAGAUCUGACGGUACUUGAGGAAUAAGCAUCGGCUAACUCUGUGCCAGCAGCCGCGGUAAUACAGAGGAUGCAAGCGUUAUCCGGAAUUACUGGGCGUAAAGCGUCUGCAGGUGGACUUUUAAGUCCUUUGUUAAAGCCUAAGGCCUAACCUUAGUUCAGCAAAGGAAACUGGAAGUCUUGA
rnacentral:rRNA from 1 species